rnacentral:rRNA from 1 species
CGUAAAGAGCUCGUAGGUGGUUUGUCGCGUUGUUCGUGAAAUCUCACGGCUUAACUGUGAGCGUGCGGGCGAUACGGGCAGACUUGAGUACUGCAGGGGAGACUGGAAUUCCUGGUGUAGCGGUGGAAUGCGCAGAUAUCAGGAGGAACACCGGUGGCGAAGGCGGGUCUCUGGGCAGUAACUGACGCUGAGGAGCGAAAGCGUGGGGAGCGAACAGGAUUAGAUACCCUGGUAGUCCACGCCGUAAACGGUGGGUACUAGGUGUGGGUUUCCUUCCUUGGGAUCCGUGCCGUAGCUAACGCAUUAAGUACCCCGCCUGGGGAGUACGGCCGCAAGGCUAAAACUCAAGGAAAUUGACGGGGGCCCGCACAAGCGGCGGAGCAUGUGGAUUAAUUCGAUGCAACGCGAAGAACCUUACCUGGGUUUGACAUGCACAGGACGCCGGCAGAGAUGUCGGUUCCCUUGUGGCCUGUGUGCAGGUGGUGCAUGGCUGUCGUCAGCUCGUGUCGUGAGAUGUUGGGUUAAGUCCCGCAACGAGCGCAACCCUUGUCUCAUGUUGCCAGCGGGUAAUGCCGGGGACUCGUGAGAGACUGCCGGGGUCAACUCGGAGGAAGGUGGGGAUGACGUCAAGUCAUCAUGCCCCUUAUGUCCAGGGCUUCACACAUGCUACAAUGGCCGGUACAAAGGGCUGCGAUGCCGCGAGGUUAAGCGAAUCCUUUUAAAGCCGGUCUCAGUUCGGAUCGGGGUCUGCAACUCGACCCCGUGAAGUCGGAGUCGCUAG